GCAGAAGGCCGCACUCAGAGUUUCUGCACUCCUUUGUUGCUGGGGUCCGUUGCGUUCUGCAUCCAGUCUUUGCUGCUCCGAGAGGCCCCAGGUGCCUCCGCCACGGCUUCUGUGACGCUGUCACCUGCGCUGUGACCUGCUCCGGAGUCAUAAAGAGGACGCCGGGACACCAAGAAGCAGGGAAAUGGACCCAGUGGCCUUUGAGGAUGUGGCUGUGAACUUCACCCAGGAGGAGUGGGCCUUGUUGAAUCCUUUCCAGAAGAAUCUCUACAGAGAUGUGAUGCAGGAAACCUUCAGGAACCUCA
rnacentral:lncRNA from 1 species